rnacentral:rRNA from 1 species
UUUCGGAGCUAACGCGUUAAGUAGACCGCCUGGGGAGUACGGUCGCAAGAUUAAAACUCAAAUGAAUUGACGGGGGCCCGCACAAGCGGUGGAGCAUGUGGUUUAAUUCGAUGCAACGCGAAGAACCUUACCUACUCUUGACAUCCAGAGAAGCCAGCGGAGACGCAGGUGUGCCUUCGGGAGCUCUGAGACAGGUGCUGCAUGGCUGUCGUCAGCUCGUGUCGUGAG